rnacentral:lncRNA from 1 species
CGUGAGGACACAGCGAGAAGGCAUCUGCUAUGAACCAGGAGGAGAGCCCUCACCAGAAGGUGAUGGCGAUGGCACCUUCAUCUUGGACUUGCAGCCUCUAGAACUAGGGAAUCCACAUUUCAUCACAAAGGCAGAACAAAACAUCCAUGUUUUCGUUAUCCGGGAGCAAGUCAUGUCGUGGAAAGCAUCAGAAUAUGGUGGACACGUAACCCAUCAGAGGAAGCCCAAAGUUCUCGGUGCCCGGUGUCUCCUGUCCCAGAAGCCCAUACCAGCAAAUCACCUACUCGUGGUUGGAUGAAGGCACUGCACAAGAGACACAUAAAUCAGUAGGAAUGGGAGUUUGAAGACAUUUGGCAUAGAAAAUAGAUUAGCAACUCUGUUUUAUUGUAAUUUUUGCUUCAGUAUCUGCCAGGGGAUUUCUGGAACAUGCUAAAAACAAAACUCUUCCUAGCAUGUGGCUGAGGGAAUGGACAUUCACCCAGUCGUUAAAAUUCCCUGGCUCUGAAGAAAGACAGAAACACACAAAUACACUCAAUUCAUCAUCCUCCCUGCUUCCCUAAUAUUUUUAGGUUCAUAAAAAAAAGGAUGAGAAUUUUCCAGGAGAAGAAACUAUGGAUAUUAAUGAAAGCCCUGUGGGAAGCCUCACUCUAGCUCGUCUGCCUCCAAAAGAUCAGUGAGCAAGACCUCACAGGUGGACAAAGGACCCUGCAAGACAAAUUGCUCACGUUUGGCAUAAGGCAUUUUGUUUUCAAAGUUCAUUAAAAUUGGAAAUGAGCUAACUAUGAGGUAUUGAGGAAGUGAAGUCAAGCGUCCUAGAAUUUUUUCAAGCCAUAAUGAUGAAUCAGUAACAAAGUCAGAAUCUUGACUUAUGUCACGGAAAGCUCCUGCACCCACUUCAGUUCUGC